UAUCUGGNAUUGAAAUCAAAGUAUAGCUAAAAAAGAUUAGUAUUUCAUUUACAUUGAAGUGAGUUAUCGUGCAA
rnacentral:tRNA from 1 species